GCCGUCCCCUUCCACAGGGUGGAAGCUUUGUUCUUUUGCUCUUUACAAUAAAUCUUACUGCUGCUCACUCUUUGGGUCUGCACCACCUUUAAGAGCUGUAAUACUCACCAUGAAAGUCCGCAGCUUCAUUGUUGAAGUCAGUGAGACCAAGAACCCACCAGAAGGAAGAAACUCCGGACAUAUCUGAAGACCCGAAGGAAGAAACUCCAGACACACAAUCUUUAAGAGCUGUAACACUUGUUGUGAAGGUUCUUAGUAGCCUCAAAUGUCAAGUAGCUGCCACAUCAAAGAGCAGCUCUGAGGGAUCUGACUCUCUGAUCUCAGGGAGCUGAAGGGCCUAAAUACCCGCUUUCUGCUGGAAAUGAGGGAACAGCCUCUCCCUGCUGCAGCUUGCCAUGGUUACCACAGGACUGAAUGAAGGAGGACAAAUGAGAAAUGAAAACCUAAAACAAAAGAAACUAUUUUAAAGGAAGGGGCCAGGGGAAGAAGAAGAGGACGCCCUGCGUCUGGUGAGUGAAGACAGCCACCUUGAGCUUCUACAGCCCUUCAUAUUUAUUGGGUAGAAAAAGCAGGAAGGAGGAGGUAAUGUUUGGUCAGCUGCUUGAGUGAUCACAGGUUCACAUUAUUGCUAACAGGCUUCAGAUGUGCCUAAUUACAAGAAGCACUGUGCUUGGGGUGUGACUGCCCUCAGCAUUCUUUCUGGGUGGCAGAUGCAGUUGUCAGCUGCUAACAUCCUGCAUUUAUGAGAACAGUUUGCUGUUUACUAAUAUAGCCUCCAGUGGUAUACUGAGUUGAUCACAACCCUCACUCUUUUGGCCUGCAACAUCUCCUUAUAAACUUCUCCGUUCAGGCCCAAAGAUGGGAGGGACAGUGCCCCUAGAAUGAGCAGCCACUGCAAGCAGGAAGUGUCCACAUGUAGACCAUUGUCUCCCAGUUUCUGUUUGGUGAGAAUUCCUCUUCCUUCCAAACAUCAGACAGUAAACAAUGGAUGAUAGGGCCCCAGCAACAGGGAACCCCAUGUCUUCAGGACUCUUUAUAGUGUUGACCUCCAAAGUUUAGAUGUGGAGAAAAUAGACUAAAGGCUGAUAUGGUUUUGUUCUGUGUCCCCACUCAAAUCUCAUCUUGAAUUGUAAUCCCUACAUGUCAGGGGAGAAACCUGGUGCGAAGUGAUUGAGUCAUAAGGGGCAGACUUCCCCUUGCUGUUUUGUGAUAGAGUUCUUAUGAGAUCUGGUUGUUUAAUAAAUGUGUUUCUUCCUCUCUCUUUCUUUCCUGCCACCUUGUGAAGACGGGCCUUGUUUUCCUUUUGCUUUCUGCCAUGAUUGUAAGAUUCCAGAGCCCCCCUUAGCCAUGUAAAACUGUGAGUCAAUUAAACCUCUUCUCUUAAACUACCCAGUUUCAGGUAGUUCUUUACAGCAGUGUGAAAAUGGACUAAUACAAAGGCCAACUUCUUAUUUUGCCGUUUGGCCUUGGACCUAAUUGUUCAGCUGUAGCUGCGUGUUUUUCUCCUGUGAUGUGGGGCACUGUGUGAGUUUCAGCACCAAUCACAUGCAUCCACAUCUACCUGCUCUUCUGUAUAACUCAGUACCAUCUAAGUGAAAUCUAACUUUAAAUGAAGGAAAAAGAAAAUUAAUACUUAUAGGGUGCCAAACAUCUGGAGGUUAUUUGUAAUUAAACUUUACUGAAAUCCUUACAUCCUGCCUAUAAUAAAUGUAUUUUUUAGUAAGACAUAACUGCAUAACAAACUAUCCCAAAGCUUACUAGCUCAUUAUUGAGCUGGUUAGAAAUUUAGGCUGAGCUCAGCUGGGCUUCUUCAGGCAUGAAUGGUCAGCUGAUGGCAGAUUAGGUGGCUCUGCUUCUGAGAGUGAGCUGUCUGUCAACUGGGGCACUUUGGUUUUUCUCCCCAUGAUAUUUUAUUUUUCAGCAGGCUAAAAUGGGCUUUUAAGACCAAAACUGGCACACUGUCAUAUUCACAGUUUUGCCCCAUGCAAAUAAGACCAGAAAGAUCCAAGGUUUGAAAAACAGAUUCUUCCUGUUGAUGGGAACUACUAUAAAAGCAUAUUGCUAAGGGCAUGACUAUAAGAAUGAAUAAAAAGAAUUGUUGUAUUUUCAAUCAAUAUUAUUAUACCUUUUCUUGCACAUAAGAUUUAUAUAACUGUCCCACAGCUACUAAGCUGCUGGGCUGGGACUCAGGAUUAACUCUGUCUGAGUCCAAAUCUCAUUCACCUCAAUAGACCACACUACUCAGCCAGGUUUUCUAGUCCAUCGAGGUCCUGGAGAGAGACACUUCUGAAAUAGAAGCUAUAUAUAUAUAUAUUCUCAUUCCAUUUACCUAGUACUCUUCAAACAUUGAAAUAAAUUCAUUAUCACCAGAGAAUACUGCUGAAGCCUGUGGGAAAAACAGAGGAAAUGGCUGAGCACUGAGUUUAGAAAUUAAGGCCUAAAAUUAUAUUUUUUAUUUCUUAUCACAGGAGAAAUUUGAAAACACCUAUAAUGCACUCCAUAUAUCUGCAAACUCUUUGUAUCUCUCUUUGGUAUUUGUAGACUAUGUAUGAGUUCCAAAACAAACUACAUCAAAUUACUGUGCCUGAUAGAGCUGCUGACUAUUUUCUUCUGCUGCAAUUUGGCUGAACAGUUGUGGAUGCCUUAAAAGGCAAAGAUAUUUUAUAAGACCACAAAUUUAGGAGUAGCUAUAGGGCAAAGCCCUGAAGCACAUAUAAAAAUCACACAACCGAUGCAUUCCUCACCCUGAAUCAAUGCUUUUCACCCCUGGCUGCAUAUUAGUACAAACUGAAGUGGGGUUAUUUAAAGUCCCCAAACCCAAUUUGCAAUGGAACAAUUAAUCAAAAUUCCUGGAGUGAGACCCAGGCAAUAGUGUGAUAUGAAGGUCUCCAGGUGAUUGCACUAUUCAGCCAAACCCCCAAAUCACUGCUUUAAACUAACAUCAUUUGGUUAACUAGUUGAAAAAAAAAAUUUUUUUUUUUGAGACGGAGUUUCACUCUUGUUGCCCAGG
rnacentral:lncRNA from 1 species